rnacentral:rRNA from 1 species
UACGGGGGGGGCAAGCGUUGUUCGGAAUUACUGGGCGUAAAGGGCUCGUAGGCGGCCAACUAAGUCGGACGUGAAAUCCCUCGGCUUAACCGGGGAACUGCGUCCGAUACUGGAUGGCUGGAGGUUGGGAGAGGGAUGCGGAAUUCCAGGUGUAGCGGUGAAAUGCGUAGAUAUACGGAGGAACACCAGAGGCGAAGGCGGAUCGCUGGGCCAACACUGACGCUGAGACGCGAAAGCUAGGGUAGCAAACGGG